rnacentral:rRNA from 1 species
AGCAGCCGCGGUAAUUCCAGCUCCAAUAGCGUAUAUUAAAGUUGUUGCAGUUAAAAAGCUCGUAGUUGAAUUUCGGGGUCAGUAGUUUGGUCGUGCCAACGGUAUGUACUGGGCUCACUGAUUCCUCCUUCCUGAUGAACUGUAAUGCCAUUAAUUUGGUGUUGCAGGGAAACUGGACUGUUACUUUGAAAAAAUUAGAGUGUUUAAAGCAAGCUAACGCUUGAAUACAUUAGCAUGGAAUAAUGAAAUAGGACGUUCGAUCCUAUUUUGUUGGUUUCUAGGAUUGACGUAAUGAUUAAUAGGGAUAGUUGGGGGCAUUAGUAUUCAAUUGUCAGAGGUGAAAUUCUUGGAUUUAUUGAAGACUAACUACUGCGAAAGCAUUUGCCAAGGAUGUUUUCAUUAAUCAAGAACGAAAGUUAGGGGAUCGAAGACGAUCAGAUACCGUCGUAGUCUUAACCAUAAACUAUGCCGACUAGGGAUCGGAUGAUGUUAAUUUUUAAUGACUCAUUCGGCGCCUUAA